AAUAAAAUGGCUGAUUAAAGGCGAUAAAUUGUAAAUUUAUUUAUGAAAUUAUUUUUUCUUUUAUUA
rnacentral:tRNA from 1 species